UUAGCAAUUCUAAGGUGAGCCAGAUAUUUCCCUCAGGGAGGUGUAGAGACCAAAAACAGAGUUAAAAGGAAAAUGAAUGUUGGACUUACAUUCAUCUGGUGGCCACAAAAU